GGGUAAGCUUUGUAGCUCUUACAGAAGGAGGGCACCUGGAGGAGCCCCCUUCCUCUCCAUUUAGCUCCAGGCCCCAGGGAGUGCCUGCUAUGUCUAACCCUCUUCUCUUCCAAUGACACCGGGACCCUCUAGAGGGCGUUGCCCAGCCCUACUCCCACUGGAAGACAAGUUCUCAGAAUAGCCUGCAGGAGGCAGGGUCCCUCCUUUGGCUUUUUCCCUGGGUGUCCCAGAAGCCAAGCCCUCUCCUCCCAGCCCCACUCCUGCUUCCCAUCAGAUGGGCGUUUGCCUGAACCACCUCUGCCCCUCCCCCCAGGCUCCCCACAGGGCUGACAAUGGCUCACCCGCAGCAGGGUCAGCCCCUUGCCCAGGCACUGGCACGGAAGGGGGUAGGGUGAGAUGGGGUUAACCCCACUUAACCCCGGCCCCUGGUCUCCUCUUGUACCAUCAUUCAUUUCCCAUGACAUUCUGGUCCCUUUCCCAUCCCUUGGAGCUGCAGCCCCCCACUCCUCCAACUAGAAGGGACUUUAAAAGGUCAUCUCCUCCAUUCUUCUGCCUCCCCAUCAAAUGACUGCCUGAGUUCUGCCCCUGCCCAGCGCCCGGAAACCUCAGACUGCUCCUUGUUCCUGUCCCAGCCCGCCACAGGGUUGGCCAGCUUCUCCCAACUUCGCCCAGAGAUCCAGACACUUGGUGGGGACAUGGACAAAGCAGAGAGGUGGGCAGUUCUGGCAGCCAUCAGGGGAGAUCUGGAGGAGACGGGACUUGGGCCUCAACUCCCACCCCCAGCCCCUGAGGUGACCAGGUGUGUCAGGCCAGCCCGGGAUUCAAGCCUGUGACCAGGCUGCAGCAGCCUGACAGCUGCAUAGUCCUGAGCAACAGCCCUCCCUUCGGGUGCCCCGAAGUGGAAUCUUAGAAGCUGGGAAUUCUAGAACCAGAGAACAGGGUCCCAGAAGGAAGGGCCCUCAGGGAUCACACCUCUCCUUUGUUUGAGAGGAAACUGAGGACCAGAAAGGGGUGUGGCCCACUUGGGGGGGGUCACUCAGGCAGCAAGGAAAUCACUGGUAACAUAAGGGGGCUGCUUGGGUUCAGUACAAACCAGCGUGGUCCCAACAGGUGUCAGCCGGACCCCUCCACAUCCUCUUUCUCUCUGGCGAGGGGAGUGGGCUCUUCACUGUGUGGAGAAAUGUCAGUCUUCCCCAUCGUUUGUCUUCCAUCUCACAUCCUGGAGUGGGACAAGUCCGUGCCCCUCACUGGGCCUCUCUCCUCUCCUUCUGGGCUGCAGAUUAUGAUGCCAGGACAGGUGUGCGGCCCUUCAGGCUCAGCCCCUGACUCAGAAAUCAGCCAAGGAACUGCGGAAACACAGAGGCAGAAAGUGGGUCCCCCUCCACACAGGACUCCCAGCAGGAAGACAGCUUGACCCCCAAGUCCCAUAGAAGAGGUGGGAGGUGUCCUGGUGUCCUGGCUCAGAUUGUUGGAGUCCCCGGGGUUGAAGAAGCCACCAGGGUCCUCUAGGACAGAUCCCAGAACGAAUCACCCUACAGUGGGUUAGCUAGUCUGUGCACCGACAACAGGACGCUCGCUCCCUCUGGUGGCCACCUGCUCCAGUACAGUCACAAACCUUGUGACCAUCUCCUUUGUCUGGGCUGCCUCUGGGCCCUAUGGCUUCCACCCAUCAGGCCUAGUUCUGCUUCCUGGAUCCACACAAGAAAAGUCUGAGCCCUUUUACCCAACAGCCCUUCAGACACUUAAGAUGACCCCACCCUCGGUAUUUAUUUUGAAAUUUUUCAUGUGCUCUGUCAGUAAAGAAUUCUGUUACACACAGUGGUGUACCUCUCCAGCCCUCUUGCGUCUCCUUCCUUCUCUCCAGAGGGAACCACUAUCCUUUCCUUUAUCUUUAUCACUAUUUUGCCUUCAAAAAUAUUUUUACUACAUAUGCAGGUAUCUUCAAAUAACAUAUUGUUUUGCAGGGAUUGAACCUCUAAAGAAUUGGAAUCUGCAGGUUGCUUUUCCUUCUGAACAUGAUCUUCGUGAGGUUCAUCCACGUUGAUGCGUUUCCACAGUUGUAUUGAAUGAACACACCUCACGGUUGUGAGAAAUUUAAAAACCUGACCCAACCAAGACGAUGUGGAACAAUGGGAACUCUGUGCACUGUGGAGAGUAAACUGAUAUGCCCGCUUUAAAAAAAUGAUGUGGCCAUAUCCAGUGGCUGUGAAGAUGUGCAUGCCCUCUCACCAGCGAUUCCCUCCCAGAUGGCGCCGGAGAGAAAGGCACACACCUGUGCACCAGGAGCCCCGGGUACGACUAUUCACGGUGGCCUGGGUGGUCACGGCCCAAACACCUCUACAUCAUUCACUCAUUUAUUCAUUUCACAAACAUUCACUGAGCUCCUGUUGAGGACCAGGCACUGGGAAUUUGGACCGGACAGACUGGGUCCCUGCCCUCACAGACAUGAGCUCUCCAUGCUCAGGUGGGGCGAGUAUGAUUGUCCCCAUCUUAUAGGUAAGGAAGCUGAGAGUCAGAGAGGUUAAGAGUCUCUCCAGGACACAAACUCGGGUCUGGCUCCAGAGCCUGUGCUCACAACAGCCUUGCCACACUGCCUCCAGGUGCCUGGUCUGUCAAUGGGCACACUACAAUGUGUCUGUGCCCUCUUUCCAUGGGGUGUGGUCAGACCAGCGUGGGGUUAGACAGUCAGUCAGCAAACACCUGAUGGAAGCUCAGUGUGGCGAGGGUCUCGAGGUAUUGCCAAACACAGACCUCCCCUCCAGCUUCCUCCCUGAUAUUCCUGCCCAGCCCAACUCUAGCCCCCUAAUCCCAGCUCCAGUCCAGCCCAAGCUGGCCUUCCUCUGUCCACUUCUCCCCAAAACUGGAUGGGUGGGUGGUGGAAGGAUAGAAAGACUUGACUUUACCCAAAGGAGAGGGUUUGAGCCCAGUGGUCAUCUCCUGGCUCCGUGUAGCCUAAGAUGUCCCUGAGUUAGAUGCUAGGAGAAGCAUGAGGGACAGUAUCGAUUAAAGACUUCCCUCCCAGGUCUUUAAUCUCUGACUCAUCCUCUGACUACCCCCCAUCAUCACCUUCUUUCUCAGAGAGAAAGAGGUGCAGGCUGAGUCAGAACUCUGAAUUCAAGUUCUAGCUGUGUGAUCUUGGAUAGGUUACUUAACCUCUCUGAGUCAUUUCCUUAGGUGGAAAACCAUGGAUGAUAAUGAGCUAAUAUUAUCUGCCUCACUGUGUAAAUCUUAGUUUUAAAAAUCUAGUUUCCUGGGGAAUAAAGCCUUUCUUGAGGAAAUAGCAGCCCCUGGUGGCUGUGUCCUAAGGCAACCCCCUUCUAUUUUCUGCAGAGCAUGGACCUGAACUGAGUCAGGAGGUGGGCAGGUUGCCUCUUUGCAAGUUGCUCAUCAAAACCACAGACCCAGAGGGCCAGAGAUAGAAGGGAACAGCUCAUCGGUCUGUGCCCAUACCCUCCCUCACUGAACGACCUCCUCCAUGCUUCACCUCCUCCCUUAUCGACCUCACCCGUGCAUCAUGCUUCUAAAUCUGACCCCAACCCUGCACAUGUUCCCAUGCCACCAUCCCUCCCCGUCCCUAAGGCCAAGCCACACAUGUGAGUCUUCCCCGUCCACACCCUCCACCCCUGGAACUGAUACCUCCUAAAUAUUCUCACAUCUCUUCCCUCCUCUCCACCCCUAGAUUUGAGUCUUAUCACCUUGAACCCUGAUGGUGGCCACUGCCUCCUUACUGGCCAUCCUGCCUGUCCCCCACCCCACCCCAGUCCUCCUCAGUGAUCUUUCUAAGCUGCAGAUCUGUCCAGGUUACCCUUCCAUUGAGGUGAAAUCCCUUCCACGGUUCCUCACGGGAAAGGCCCGAACAUACCCACUCUGCCGCUCCCUUUGGCCCCUGCCCUGUUCAUCACGCCUCUCUACCUGGAUCACACGCUAUGGCUCCCAUGUCUGUCCUCCAACAUGCCCAUCCUUGAGGAUGGGGCUCCAUAUUACUCAUCUUUGAUUCCUUCAAAACAUUUAUUUGGUGCCUACUGUGAACCUGGCAGUCACGAGGUGCUUUAAAAGUAAUAUUUGAAUAAAUUAAUGAGGAAACCAAGACCCAGAGAGGUGAAUUGACUAGUCCACGGUUGCAGAGAGAUGGGGCUCUUUGUGCAACGCUUUCCCACCCCACUGUGCCGUUCUUCAACCCCUCCACCCAGGAUGGAGCAUGGGGAGGCCAUCUGCCCUGCUGUGCACGCGAGGGAAAGGAGGAGGCAGCAAAGGCAGCCCCAUUACCCCUCCAGCUGGGAAAGGAGAAAAUGAAGAGACAGGGAGCAUUUCUGCUGCCCAGCCCCAGACCAGCUCCAAGCCUCCCUCGUGUGGAUGGCGAAAAGCAGGAGGGGAAAGCAGAGGCCAGCCAGUACCCAAAGCUCUGAGGCCAAGGCCGGACUUCCCAGGAGGGGUGCCUGGGCCCCCCGUCUGCUCUGCUGAUCACUUCCUUGGCACCAGCUGCCUCCCUCUCUCUGCUUCACCAGAUCUCUUCGCACAGAGCUUCCCAGAGUUGUUGUCCCUCCUACCAUCUGGUCUCCAUGCUGCCUACUUCCCUCUUCCCAUCUCUUUUCUUGUUGUCACAAGGCUUGUGACUCCUUGCUGACUUUUCCCUUUGCACACAUGUCCAGCAGGACCCAUCUAGCUGGGGAGUGGAGGGCAAGAGAAAAGGGGAACAGGGAGAUGAACAUAGGGGCUAAGUUAGGGAUGGAGUGACGAGACAAGAGUGACCUCCGAGCCCCUCCCUGAACCCCUGCAUUAUGAGGCAGUGAAAGUGGGGGAUAGGGGAGGUAACAAAAAUGGAAGGUUUAGGUCUCUCUGCCCGCCACCCACAAUACCGUUCUGUGCAUCUCCCUCCCCUGUCCCUUAAGGACAUUUUGGCAGGUCCCUUCUGAGGCUGCUUUCUCCUCUGCAGGAGGCAGGAGGAAACAGGAGUGCAUGCCACUCACCUGGUGCCACAGUCAGCCUCCAUCAGAUGCGGAUCUCCCUUGGGGGUGGUGAUGCCUGAAGCCUGCUGCCCCAUGGGGCUCCUUUCACGGAGUCCUCUUGGCCCACAGAACCUCCCCUGUCCUUCUCUGUGGCCCCUUCUAUUCCUGGUAUCUCUCUCCAGGGUCUGUUUCCCCUGCUGAGUCAGGCCCAGAGGGCAGACGAGCAGGCCCCCUGCUCUAAAGGACAGCUGCCUAGGAGUGGACACCAGUGGGUCCUUCAGGCAGACCCCAACCUUGGGAAGUCGUUCCCUAGGAAGCCCACACCCACUCGCCUUGGUGGGCAUCGACCUUCCCUCUGAGCAGAGGAGGGGGAAGCCACAGCCUGCCCUCAAGGGCUGGCCGCCCCGCGCUCCAGUGCGCCGCACACUCCCUCUUCACACUCGGCCUGCCUUCUCUCAAGCAGACUGGGGCAGGGGUAAGACCUGCGGAGGGGGUCUGCCAACUUUCUUUAGGAUGUGUGUGGUACUUAGAGGCUAUUAUUUUUAAUUUUGGAGCUUAGCCUCAAUCUUGAGACAUGAGUUGAUUCAGAAAGUCUUCAUCAAACAUUAUUCCAAGCCCUCUUACCCUCUGGUCAUCUUCCUCUGGGAUCAACUCCAAACCAUCAGUGUCUCUCUUAAAAUACAGUGUCCUCCAGGUGUGGAGGGCAAUGGGAAUGUCACCACCUCUGAUCUGGACACCUUCUAUCUACUAACCACUUACCUCCUUUUUCCUUUUCUAGGCUGCCACUUCACUGUGUUGGUUUGUAACAAGCUUGUGGUCCGCUAAAACUCCCAGGUUUUCUUCACUAGAUAUGCUCUAUUCUUCACUCUUCCAUUUUUAUGCUGUUGGGUUUUUUUUUUAAAGAUUGGCACCUGAGC